rnacentral:misc_RNA from 1 species
GAAAUGCGAUAAGUAAUGUGAAUUGCAGAAUUCAGUGAAUCAUCGAAUCUUUGAACGCACAUUGCACCCACCAGUAUUCUGGCGGGCAUGCCUGUCCGAGCGUCAUUUCAACCAUCAAGCCCCCGGGCUUGUGUUGGGGACCUGCGGCUGCCCGCAGGCCCUGAAAACCAGUGGCGGGCUCGCUGUCACACCGAGCGUAGUAGCAAUCACCUCGCUCAGGGCGUGCUGCGGGUUCCGGCCGUUAAACAGCCUUACAAAACCCAAGGUUGACCUCGGAUCAGGUAGGAAGACCCGCUGAACUUAAGC